UGAAAAAAAUGGACUUGGUGGGUCUUUGAAUUUAAAUAAAAUAAACAUGUAUAUGCAACACAAAAUAUUUAUAUUCCUUGUGUAAACAUAAUUUAAUUGAUUAGGAUGAAAAUGUUUUGUUUGAAUGUAAAAUGAACACAUUAUUCUCACAUUGAUUAAAAUUGAUUGAAUUGAAUACUUAAAGCAAUAAAAUUGAGUUUGCACACAAAAUGGCACCUCCUGAGCAGAAGGUGGCAGUAACGCUCAAUAAAAAGGACGUCAAUCGCCAUAAAAGAAGAAUAAACAUCGUUUGUUUUGGGCGCCAAAAUGAAGACUCAGCAGCAGUCAGUCAGAAGAACUCUCUCAGACGGACACCACGUUAUUAAAGUCCAUCAUCCUUGCAUGCGCUACACACUCAAAAGCAUUGAUAAAUGCUGAAUUUAAAAGAAUCACUACUGUCUUAUGUUCCUGCGUGUCACCUGGACCUCCAAUCCAAAAACCUGACGAAACUCUUCUAUCAGAAAGGAGGACAGCUAGCAAAAAGACUUCAAACAAUGAAUGAUCAAAUGACAGAAGGCAUGAAUGAAGUCAGCAUCAGUGUGGUCAUUUGAAGACACCACUGUUGGGAUUUGUGCUCUCAAACAACAUGCUUCUUGUGAUGAAGAAGAGGAUCUUUGUAUAGUCCUGGAAGGCAUGAAGGUGUUGCAACAUCGUGCCAUGUUGUUUGAGCUGAUGUAUGCCUUAAACCUGAGCUAUCCUGAUCUCUGCUUUAUUUUUGAAGAAAUCCAAAAGAUUUUAAUGGAACUGCAUUGAGCGUAACUUUAACGAACAGUUUCUUUCAGUGAAAGGAUCAGAAAGACUGUGCUGCUCAUUUAUGUUCUUUUUAUUU